rnacentral:rRNA from 1 species
GAUGAACGCUGGCGGCGUGCCUAAUACAUGCAAGUCGAGCGAAUGGAUUAAGAGCUUGCUCUUAUGAAGUUAGCGGCGGACGGGUGAGUAACACGUGGGUAACCUGCCCAUAAGACUGGGAUAACUCCGGGAAACCGGGGCUAAUACCGGAUAACAUUUUGAACCGCAUGGUUCGAAAUUGAAAGGCGGCCUCGGCUGUCACUUAUGGAUGGACCCGCGUCGCAUUAGCUAGUUGGAGAGGUAACGGCUCACAAAGGCAACGAUGCGUAGCCGACCUGAGAGGGGGAUCGGCCACUCUGGGACUGAGACACGGCCCAGACUCCUACGGGAGGCAGCAGUAGGGAAUCUUCCGCAAUGGACGAAAGUCUGACGGAGCAACGCCGCGUGAGUGAUGAAGGCUUUCGGGUCGUAAAACUCUGUUGUUAGGGAAGAACAAGUGCUAGUUGAAUAAGCUGGCACCUUGACGGUACCUAACCAGAAAGCCACGGCUAACUACGUGCCAGCAGCCGCAGUAA